rnacentral:rRNA from 1 species
AUUGAACGCUGGCGGCAUGCUUUACACAUGCAAGUCGAACGGUAACAGGCCUUCGGGUGCUGACGAGUGGCGAACGGGUGAGUAAUGCAUCGGAACGUGCCCAGAGGUGGGGGAUAACGCAGCGAAAGCUGUGCUAAUACCGCAUGUGAUCUGAGGAUGAAAGCGGGGGACCAGGCAGCAAUGUUUGGCCUCGCGCCUUUGGAGCGGCCGAUGUCAGAUUAGGUAGUUGGUGGGGUAAAGGCCUACCAAGCCGACGAUCUGUAGCUGGUCUGAGAGGACGACCAGCCACACUGGGACUGAGACACGGCCCAGGCUCCUACGGGAGGCAGCAGUGGGGAAUUGUGGACAAAGGGGGCAAGCCUGAUCCAGCGAUGCCGCGUGCGGGAAGAAGGCCUUCGGGUUGUAAGCCGCUUUUGUGCGGAACGAAAAGGCUCUGGCUAAUACCUGGGGGUGGUGACGGUACCGUAAGAAUAAGCACCGGCUAACUACGUG